UGUUAAACGGCCGCGGUAUUUUGACCGUGCAAAGGUAGCAUAAUCAUUUGCCUUUUAAAUGGAGGCUGGAAUGAAAGGCAAGACGAGAAUUUGACUGUCUUUUUCCUAAUAACCCUGAAAUUAAUUUCCUUGUGAAGAAGCAGGGAUUAAGUCGUGGGACGAGAAGACCCUAUUGAGCUUAAGCAAAAGGUGUAAGUAUUGGUUUUUUAUUUUUAGCUAAUUUUUUAAUAAGUAUAAUUUUACUAAAAAUAAAAAUAAUAUUGUAUAUGUGUUGUUUUGGUUGGGGCAACCGCGGAGAAUAUUCAACCUCCGCUAAUAAGAAAAAAAGAAACUUCUUUAAAAAGAGAAUAGUUUAGUUGAGUGACCCAUCUUGGGAUGAUCAAAGGAAAAAGUUACCAUAGGGAUAACAGCGUAAUUUUUUUGGAGAGUUCAUAUUGAUAAAAAAGUUUGCGACCUCGAUGUUGGAUCGAGACUUCCUGAGGGUGCAGCAGCUUUCAAGGGU
rnacentral:rRNA from 1 species